UUUUGUUUGCUUGCUUGCUGGGUUUGUUUGAAACAUUAUGAGUGAAUCAUGGGCUGACGUGGCUGACUCAGAGAACAACACUGCCUCUGGGUCUACUACUCAAAACUCUCACAACACUGCCUCUGGGUCUACUAAACCGUCACGACCUGCUUAUGUUCCUCCACAUCUAAGGAACAAGCAACCAUCUUCCGACCCUGUUGCUCCACUACCAGCUAAUGAUCGUGUUGGCUAUAACGGUCCACCUUCUGCCUCUCGUUGGGCUCCUCCUGGAGGUAGUGGUGGUUACAGGGCUGAUGCAGGGCGUCCACGAGGAACCGGCGGUGGCUGGAACAACAGGAGUGGAGGGUGGGACCGUAGGGAGCGUGAAGUCAACCCCUUUGAGAACGCUGACGCUGAGCCGGAGCCUGCGUUUACUGAGCAGGACAACACUGGGAUUAACUUUGAUGCUUACGAAGAUAUCCCGAUUGAGACUAGUGGGGAUAACGUGCCUCCUGCUGUCAACACGUUUGCGGAGAUUGAUCUCGGGGAGGCUUUGAAUCUGAACAUCAGGAGGUGCAAGUACGUGAAGCCGACGCCGGUGCAGAGGCACGCGAUUCCUAUAUUGCUUGCGGGGAGGGACUUGAUGGCUUGUGCUCAGACGGGGUCUGGGAAGACGGCUGCGUUUUGUUUUCCGAUAAUUAGUGGGAUUAUGAAGGAUCAGCAUGUAGUGCAGAGACCUCGUGGCUCACGGACUGUUUACCCUCUUGCGGUUAUUCUCUCGCCAACAAGGGAGUUGGCAAGUCAGGUUCGUGUUCUCUUCAAACGUUAAGACACUAAUCGCUUGAUGAAAACUCAUUCUGUGAUUUUUGGCAGAUACAUGAUGAGGCUAAGAAGUUUUCUUACCAAACUGGUGUGAAGGUGGUUGUUGCUUAUGGAGGAACACCUAUUAACCAGCAGGUAUAUUAAUGUACAUUUAGUUUUCUAGUUAGCUUUAAUCUGUUUUGUUGACAUCUUGUGUUGUUUGUUUGUGCAGUUACGGGAACUUGAGCGAGGGGUUGAUAUUCUUGUGGCGACUCCUGGUAGACUAAAUGAUUUGCUCGAGAGGGCUAGAGUCUCUAUGCAGAUGAUUAGAUUCUUAGCUCUUGAUGAGGCUGAUAGGAUGCUGGACAUGGGUUUUGAGCCACAGAUUAGAAAGAUUGUGGAACAAAUGGACAUGCCUCCGCGUGGUGUUAGACAGACGCUUUUGUUUAGUGCUACUUUUCCAAGAGAGAUUCAGGUUUGGUUUACUUGUGUGUCAACUCUUAUGCUCUAUACUUCUUCCUUGCAAAUUAUAUGUGAUGGAGAGCCUUAGAUUGAUUAGGUUUGAUGCUACUGUUUCUGCUCGUAGCACUCGUUACUAGAAUGUUUCUGCUUUUGCAUAUUCAUUUGAAAAUCUGAAAAAAUUAUAUAUUUGUUUAUUGUGCAGAGACUCGCAGCUGACUUCUUAGCAAACUAUAUAUUCUUGGCUGUGGGUAGAGUAGGUUCAAGUACUGACUUAAUUGUCCAAAGGGUUGAGUUUGUCCUUGACUCUGACAAGAGAAGUCAUCUCAUGGACCUGCUUCAUGCUCAGAGAGAGAAUGGCAUGGUAAAAAUGUCACUCUUCUUUUCUUCAGCUGGUCUUGUAUGGCAGUCGUUACCAUUCUUCUGAUGACUGUUUUCUCUUCCAUAAUUACAGCAAUCCCUGACCUUAGUCUUUGUGGAGACGAAGAGGGGAGCCGACUCUCUGGAAAAUUGGCUGUGCAUCAAUGGGUUCCCAGCAACCUCCAUUCACGGUGACAGAUCACAGCAGGUUUGUUAAUCUCUUUGGUCAUCACUUUCAAGCUAGAAUUUUACUAAGCUUUGUUGUGUGUUUUAUGCAUUUGAAGGAAAGAGAAGUGGCGCUGAAGUCAUUCAAGAGCGGGAGAACACCGAUUCUGGUUGCAACGGACGUGGCAGCGCGUGGUCUCGACAUUCCCCACGUGGCUCACGUCGUGAACUUCGAUCUACCGAACGACAUUGAUGACUAUGUUCACCGUAUUGGACGAACAGGACGUGCUGGCAAAUCAGGACUAGCGACUGCCUUCUUCAACGACGGCAACACCUCGAUGGCAAGAUCUCUCUCUGAACUGAUGCAAGAAGCUAACCAAGAAGUCCCUGCAUGGCUCUCGCGGUAUGCGUCGCGUUCCUCCUUUGGUGGUGGUAAGAACAAGCGGUCUGGUGGUCGGUUUGGUGGGCGUGACUUUAGAAGGGAAGGUUCUUACAUUAGAGGAGGUGGCGGCGGUGGUGGUGGUUACUAUGGCGGUGGCGGAGGCGGCGGCUAUGGCGGUGGAUAUGGAGCUCCAAGUGGUGGAUAUGGUGGAGAAACUCCAAGUGCGUGGGACUAAGCGCUUAAUGUUUUUUUUGUUUUGUUUUGGUUAUAAACUUUUGACUAUUUAUCUGUCUUCUACAUUCCCAAAGAGAGAGUAUGUAUUGCCCCUUACACUUAUGAGAUGGAUGAAUAUAUAUAUAACUAAGGUUGCUGUUUAGGUGCUUUUGAUCUUUGUAGGCUUUUUUAAGAGUGUCCAAAGCAUAACAGUCCAGUUUCACAGAUUGUCUCCAAUUUUUUAUCAUGUUCUUGAUCUGAAACAUGUCUUGAAAGUGUUAAGUUAAUUGAUGCUCUUGUUCUGCUGGUGUGUUCUAGAUGCACUUCUAAGUUUGGUGAUGUAAAUUUAGUUUCCAGAGAGUAGAUAUAACAGAGAGAUGAUAUUGGUUCACCAACCACAUUACAUGCUUUGAAAGUUUUUAACAGAAACAGAGUUUUUAUCUACUCUUAAGAGAUCCAAAGAGUAGAUAAAAGACCAGUGGAGAUGGUAUUGGUUCACCAACCAUUACACAUAACAGAAACAGAGCUUUUUGUUAUUUACAUACAAAAACCCUUUUAGACAAACACAAAAAACAAAACAUGUCUCCUUUUUCACUUAUCAACGACGUCCAUGUUCCUGUCCCAUGUACCCCGUACUUCCUUGCUCAUGUGUCCUCUCAGGAGGAUCACCAAUAACUAUGUUCGUCGUGGUCUUUGCAAUCUCAGCUAUAGUCUCGCCAAUAGCCCCAAGCACUCCUCCCGCUCCAGCCCCUUGUUCUUGGGCAUAUCUCUCGUUCCUUCUUCCUCCUCCUCCGUAUAACUCCUCCUCUCCAACGUCUCUGGAGACUCCUCCUCCUUGUGUUCCAUAUCCGAAGACAUCUUCCUCACUCGCUCUUCCUCUUCCGUACUCCUCCCUGACGUCUCUCCUCUCUUCUCCGGAGAAGCCUUUUGUUCCAUACCCAAAGACAUCUUCCUCACCUCUCCCUCUUUCUCCUCUGUACUCCUCUUCAAAGCCUCUUCUUGGCUCUUUGACAUAACCUUGUCCCUUCUCUUCCUCACCUCCCUCGAAACAAAACAAAAAAACAAAGUUGCUUGAGCCACACGUAACAACAUAAUGAUUACUAAACAAACCCAAAAACCACAAGAAACAACAUAGUAAUAGUACUAAACAAACCCAAAAACCAAAGUUCCUUGAGCCACACGAAACAACAUAGUGAUACUAAACAAACCCAAAAACAUAGUUCCUUGAGCCACACGUAACAACGUAAUGAUACUAAACAAACCCAAAAACAUAGUUCCUUGAGCCACACGUAACAACAUAAUGAUACUCAAAAUAGGUCUAGUUCAAGUUGUGUGAAGUACCUGGUGCGUCUCUUGGUCUCUGUGUUGAGCUUCCUCUUUCUUCCUAGCUGUGUAUCCAACCACCGUAUCAGCAGCCACUGCAGCUUUCUCCUUAGUCAAGUCCACCGCCUUAGAACCAACUUCCGCCGUCUUAUGCCCUGCGUAACCAACCGCUCCUUCCACCGUACCAGCGACCGCUUUGGUCCCUUGGACCACUUUCUCCGUCGUGAAAUGCGCCGCAGUCCACCCAACCGCAGCCGCUUUCUCGGCUGCCCCUCCAGCGUAAUGUGCAGCUCCUUUGCCUCCUUCCACCACCGUCUCCUUUGCAUACUCAGCCGCUUCUUUGCUCAUUUCCACCGCUUCACCGGCCUUUUGAACCGUGUAGUCUUUGGCUUUUGCCGUCACUGAAACCGUCUGUUCUUUGGCUUCUUGUCCUUUCUGAGCAGCAAUGUCUUUAGCUUCACCAGCUUUCUGAAACGUGUAGUCUUUGGCUCUUGCAGCCUGUUCAGCCGCAGUGUUUCCAGUGUCUCUACCUUUCUCAGUGGCAUACUGAGAAGCUCUCUGAGCUUUCUNNNNNNNNNNNNNNNNNNNNNNNNNNNNNNNNNNNNNNNNNNNNNNNNNNNNNNNNNNNNNNNNNNNNNNNNNNNNNNNNNNNNNNNNNNNNNNNNNNNNNNNNNNNNNNNNNNNNNNNNNNNNNNNNNNNNNNNNNNNNNNNNNNNNNNNNNNNNNNNNNNNNNNNNNNNNNNNNNNNNNNNNNNNNNNNNNNNNNNNNNNNNNNNNNNNNNNNNNNNNNNNNNNNNNNNNNNNNNNNNNNNNNCUUCCGAUCCAAAAAGGUAACCCAAAAUCGAAAUUUAGGGUUUUUCUCCACCCUUGAUUAGAUUUCUCCGAUUCGUUCUUAGAUUCUCUUGACCAGUUUCUGAGGUGAGAGCCCCUGUGUGUUGCGUGAUUCCUUUGGCAUUAGUGUUGUUCAUUAUUCCCCUUUCGUACUUUGUCCUCGUUGGAUUAUUCUAUUCUCACAAAGUCUCUUCCUUUUUGGGAAUUCGAUUAUGAUUAACUUGAACCCAUCUCGUGAUUUUGCAGGAUUUUUCAUAAAGGAGCAACCUUUGAAGGAUUUGAACUUUGUUUUGUUUGCUUGCUUGCUGGGUUUGUUUGAAACAUUAUGAGUGAAUCAUGGGCUGACGUGGCUGACUCAGAGAACAACACUGCCUCUGGGUCUACUACUCAAAACUCUCACAACACUGCCUCUGGGUCUACUAAACCGUCACGACCUGCUUAUGUUCCUCCACAUCUAAGGAACAAGCAACCAUCUUCCGACCCUGUUGCUCCACUACCAGCUAAUGAUCGUGUUGGCUAUAACGGUCCACCUUCUGCCUCUCGUUGGGCUCCUCCUGGAGGUAGUGGUGGUUACAGGGCUGAUGCAGGGCGUCCACGAGGAACCGGCGGUGGCUGGAACAACAGGAGUGGAGGGUGGGACCGUAGGGAGCGUGAAGUCAACCCCUUUGAGAACGCUGA
rnacentral:lncRNA from 1 species